CGAACGGCUCCGUACAACUGUUAGCAUCUUACUCGCACCACAACUGCCGCGUCUUUUCUUAGUUGAGGGGUUUGCGCGACUAUUUAUUGGAUAGUUGGCGUAAAUUCUGCAACUAAUACAGACAAGACGUGAGGGGGUCUCCAUUCGGUAGGCCUUUGGCCACCCCGUCCAGCGAGGACCUCCCCCUCUUCCCCCCCCUCUCCUCGUGGGUGGGUGGGGGUUGGGGCCGGUUGAGGUAACCGCGUGAAAGCGGGGUGUGUGCCUUACCGGGUGAGCGAUCUCUUUUGGGGUGCAGGAGAAGACUUUCAGGCCUAUCAACUAGAGGAGAGGGGCCAGCCCCCCCCUGGUUUUGACGGGUACAGAGGAUCAGGGUUCGAUCCUGGAGAGGAAGCCUUAGAGACCGCCUCCACCGCUAAGGUAGGCAGCAGGCACGCAACGUUCCCAAUGGACAAAGAUUCACUGAGGACGUAAAGGGGUAUAGCAAGGCGGGUCGGCUCAAGCCGAUCGGCCAUUGACAUGGGGUGGUUUUAAACCACUCGCCGAGUAGCAAUUGGAGGACAAGUCUG
rnacentral:rRNA from 1 species